rnacentral:lncRNA from 1 species
UACAUCGAAUAUCAAACAUACACAAAGUCACGUGUAUUAUUUAGAAUUCUUUCUUUUUUUAUAGCAGUAGCAUGGCAGCAGCACUACGAUACCUUAUCUGUGUACUAUAAAAUAUCGGCAAACCGUGCAGUGCACUUCAAUAUCGUUAUCUUAUACGUAUUUAGAGUUCUCGUACAAAGGAAAGAAAAAAAUGCACCCACGAAUGAACACUAUUUAUAAUAAGUGAGGAAUUUGUUUUUCAAUUAUCAGGUCGAAGACCGCGUUCGUUGUGUUAUCAAGCUAAAAUGAUUUUUAUACAAAAACAAAACAGAACACUUGAGCUUCUACUUGAGUGACAGACGUAACUUGAGAAUAUAGGUAACUGAACACACAAAUAACAAACAAUAAAAGUAAUCAAUUAUACAAAGUUAUAAGUCAAAUACCCCCCGAGGGCCAAUGUCUACUUUCAAUUUUUCUAAACAAAACACAAUUCUCAGUUGCAUCGCGGCGGCACUCAGCGGCACUGCAGCUCCGCCGACGUACCGAUGUACCGACAUGGACACGGAGCCAAUCUCGCAUUUCACAGCUGUGCUACCUCUGUGUAAAAUGCGUGUGAAUUUGUAUGCGUGCUAAGCAUAGAUAUAGUUAUGUCGGCUGUUGCAAUGCCGCGCGUCCCCCGUAUAAGCCAGAUAUAAAGUGAGUGUGCACCAGCAUAAGCCAGUGUGCAGGUUGCCUGCCAGUUGCCAGUGCCGUAUGCGCUGUGCGAUGGUAGACGGUGCGCACAACACAACGCGACAAGGAAAAGGAGGCACAAGUGUGGUACAAGACAGUGCUGGGCUGUUGGCGAGUCGAAUCACCGAUGCUAUGCGAUUAUUCUCUAGGCAUGUGCCGGACUCUGACUUUACGGGGACCGGGGCGAAGCAGACUUGAGCACUAGAGUUCAGAGGCAUCAACAGAAGGAGAGAGAGAAUUUUGCCUUGGUGUUGGUUUCAGAUGCGUCUGUGAUGAUAAUGCCGAGUGCCAGGCCAUCCAAAAGUGUAUGUAGGGCAUUUCGUGUCAACUCGACCAGGUUUCAACCCUCACAUUUUCCUUCCUUCUUAUUUUACCAGGUCAUAUCAACACCGCAGAAAUAAUCAAAUGAAUAAUCGUAUCGAAUUCCGAAUUUUCAGAUUUUUUGAAGCAUGUAACUGCUUUUGAGAUAGUCUUACGCAUUUCAAAAAAAUAUAGAUCACCAACUAUUGUUCGGUAUAUGUAUACGUUAAGGUGCUACUAUCACGGGUAAAAGUUGAAAAAUGAGAAUUAAACAACACAAAUAAUAGCGAGGGUCAAAAUCUGGUCGAGAUGGUAUGGAUAUCCCGUGUAUAGUAUGCCUAGGUAUGGUAUAGAUUUAACUCUGCUUAUGUUAGUCUCGUGUAGCGCAACCGCGGGAAGUCUUAAGAAUUUAUACUCCAGACUCUGAGGAAUUCAAACAAUGGAUUUGAAUUUAUUGCAUUAUCGUAAACCAGGUAUACGCAUAUACCUUAGAUUAUCGUACCACCUCAUUUCACAUUAUGGACUUGCCAGAGGGAUUCCGUUGUAAAUUUUUUAAAUACAGUUAAGAAACCUUUGUUCAUAAAGCCUGCUAUAAUCCAUUUGAAAAUGUUAUUUUUUUUCCAGCUGGUAUGAGAGCAAUGCACCACGCGGUGCAUGCAGGUCCUGGCGGCGAGUGAAGCCAUAAUAAAGUAAAAAGGUCUAUGCCCUACACGGAUCGAGAAUACGCGAUUGCACCGAUCGGUAUGGUAUAUAACUUGCAAUAUGAAUCAUCGUAUAUUACAGAUGAUAAUUGCACGAAUGUUCUGGUCAGGCUCUUGAGCCUGAAAUUGCACAAACGUGACCUUAUAACACAGUUGAUUUCAAUCAUUCAUGCAUAAUUAUUUUCCUGGUUGAAUAGUUACCAAAUUUUAUUGAUAACACGACAAAGACUUCCGCAAUUGUAAUCGUAUACAUGUAAAAUGUAUACUCACAUGAAGGGGCAGCAAUUCAUGAAGGUUUCGUCCAUCAGACGAGAAUAUCACCACACUGUAAUAUGAUGACGCUGAUGCAGUGCAAUGAUUUUCAAGGGGGACCUCCUCUACAUCGCUGUCUGGUACAACCAUACACGUGUAUGUACGGACUAUAUGGAUGUAGCUAUUUUAUCCUACGACAAAGCCCAGCUGGAUCGGUUUCUUGUAUCAAGUUACAAUUGCAACACGAUAGACCUUGCUACAAUAUCGCGGGCCUUCUGUAGCAGCAGCAGCAACUCUUUGAAUAUACAUAGCCGUAUAGGUGAAAGCGCAACUUAAAUACCUACGCGGGACAAUGCUCAGUAUCCGAUCUUAGAUCUGUCCUGUGUCACACGGAAGCCGGAUUUAACUUUAGAAAGCUCCGAUGCGAGAAUAUUUAUGCAUAAGUCUCCUCAUCGUCGCAAGAGAAGAAGGCAUGUUACAGAUGUGAGACGUAUAGAAGCGAAAUAAUUUUGAUUCCCCCUGCGUGUAUUUACACAUAAAGAUUAUAAACAACGUCAGGUCAGGUUGCGAUAUGCAACAGGGAAGAAAGGACAGCUGAUAUUGAUUUCUUCUUCGGUGUCUCUACGCGCGCCCCUUUGCUCGCCCGUUCCUCGUACAUUUUCCAACGACCGUAUAAGCGGUUACAACGCGAGGUCUGCUCUAUCCUAUUUUCCGAACAUUUCUUUAUUCGGUUAUCGCGGUUGGAUGCUGGGAGUGUAAAAUAUCGGUUCUUGCACAAGUUUCAUAACACAAUUCUCAUAUUUUGAGAGAACGGUGUAUACAUUAAAGCGAGCAUGCGCACCUUGAUUUAGGUCACUCACCGACCGACCAACCACACAAUAUUUAUGCUCAAUCAUUUACGACCUUUGUUAUAAUGCCACUUGAUGGACCCCUAAGUGGAUUAUUCCAAUCUUUAUCAGUUGAUAUCAAAUUACCAUGAAUUAUCAGCUAAAUGUU